rfam:Parcubacteria bacterium GW2011_GWB1_50_9 TY60_C0005, whole genome shotgun sequence.
CGGGCCAUAGUGUAGCGGCAACACACGUCCUCGGGGAGGAUGUAACGGUGGGUUCGACUCCCACUGGCCCGA